UUGAGAGCUGCUGCUGAAGAGACAUUCCUUUAUUUUCUGAUGAUCCUCCAAAGCCGCCUGUGCUGUGCCCUGAUGUGCCAGCAGCAGGGAUUGGUGGUCCAUCAGGACAGCAGUGCCUGGCUAUAAACCUCUCAUGGAUUGUGAGGUAAGGAGAAGCUUUGUUUCCCAGGAAGAAGCUCCACCAGCUAUGCAGCCACUUGAUCCUUGUGACCUUGUGUGUCACCAUCUGCCAUGGGCUCACAGGCCUGCUCAGCCACAGGAGGGAUCCAGGUGUUGAUGCCAUCUCUAAACCCUCAGCCAUGGGGAGCCAAGCUUCUCCUCCAGCCCCAGGCUCUGCACACUGAGAUGACCCAGCAGUGACAAGUCAGACUCAGUGCACAAACAGGGUCUAGAACAAAUGGCUGGCUGUCCAUGAACUGCUUGGAGGAACAGGCAGCAGCAGGAUAAGGUUAUUACAUGGGUUGGCUGUGC